rnacentral:rRNA from 1 species
GACGAACGCUGGCGGCGUGCCUAAUACAUGCAAGUAGAACGCACAGUUUAUACCGUAGCUUGCUACACCAUAGACUGUGAGUUGCGAACGGGUGAGUAACGCGUAGGUAACCUGCCUGGUAGCGGGGGAUAACUAUUGGAAACGAUAGCUAAUACCGCAUAAUAUUAAUUAUUGCAUGAUAAUUGAUUGAAAGAUGCAACUGCAUCACUACCAGAUGGACCUGCGUUGUAUUAGCUAGUAGGUGAGGUAACGGCUCACCUAGGCGACGAUACAUAGCCGACCUGAGAGGGUGAUCGGCCACACUGGGACUGAGACACGGCCCAGACUCCUACGGGAGGCAGCAGUAGGGAAUCUUCAGCAAUGGACGAAAGUCUGACCGAGCAACGCCGCGUGAGUGAAGAAGGUUUUCGGAUCGUAAAGCUCUGUUGUAAGAGAAGAACGGGUGUGAGAGUGGAAAGUUCACACUGUGACGGUAUCUUACCAGAAAGGGACGGAUAACUACGUG